AGCAGAAACGGCUGCUUCCAGGGGGAGAGCCCCGAGCUGCUGGGCUGAGGCAGGAGCGCAGGUGGAGAAGCCAGAAGGACCCCUGGGUGCCUGGACUCUGAGCUCAUCAGGAACAGGGCUGCUUACUCGGGAGAACAGAUUUCCACCAACAUUUUGCUCUGAGCAGAAAUAAAUCCUCUUCCUCCCUGGAACAUGGACGCAGAGAUGUAAGGGUUACCUUACCUGUUAAAGGGCAACUCCUACAAGCCACAGCGGACCUCUGGCUUCCCCGGAAACUCCAGGUGCGAUCUCUGCGGAGUCGGGCCAAGGGCAUGACUGCUCUCACGGCAAUGGCCAUCUGGCCAAAAGAGACGGUGUCCUUUGGGGCACCUGAUCAAGUGGAUGGCUGCUUCCCAUGGAUAUUGAAGGACCAAGAAUAGUCCAGACAAAGCUGAAACCAGAGCAGAAAGGAGAGGGACUCCUUCCAUCCAAAAGCGACCGUCCGGGGCGCCUG